UGCCACCAACGGCUUGAGAGAUUUCCUUUUAUUUGUGAAUCAUGGAGACAGAUCGUCACAAAAAAUUUUGGGACGCACCUUCUGUUCCACUCGAACAAUAAAACAGACAGAUUUCUGGCUAAAGAUGAAUGGACAGCUUUGUCCAAAGAACCGGAUCGUUGCGACCUCAACGGAGGGUUAUCCGAAGAGUUGAUCGAACAUUAUCAAAUAGAUGUGGCCAAACUACCUGAACGCGUAAACAAUUGUAUAUGCUCUCAUUGGAUAAAGAAAAACAAGUUUAUAUACAAUAUGUACAACAAAAAGCUGUUGACAGUUGGCUCACAUUGUAUUCCUUUCUCCCAACAUUUUACUCAGGAAUAUUAAGUAUAGUGGAUUCAAUAUAACCUCUGCACCUUUAGCAUGUGAUACAGGGGUUUACAAGUUAUUUAAUUUAGUGGGCACUUUGUCUUUCAAUAUUUGCUGCUGUACAAUUGAAUUUUACUGUAGUUGUGUUAAACACAUUUCUAAGACCUUUCACAAGGGUGAUUUUAAUGGUAAAGCAUCCUUUAUCUUCUUAUCUUCUCUGGGAAACCCCCUUUUAGCCCAAAAAAUCUUAUGCUAGCUUGCUUAACGAAAGGUGAUCUUUUCACUUAAAUUUUUAAACUGUACAAUGAGGUCUGAUUUUAAUGCAAAUUAUUAGAGUAAACUUCUUUUUUUAAAAAAAAAAAAAAAAAAAAAAAAAAAAAAAAAAAAAAAAAAUUGGAAAAUGAUAUUUUUAGAUUUUUAGUCUCAGUGCUAACAUUUAAUUUUCCUUGAAAUAUGUAGCUAAAAGACUGCAUUUGUAACUUAUCUUUAUUUACACCUUUUCUCGUCCAAAUAUUCAUGUACGUAAUAAAAGGAGUUUGACUCAAUAAAUAAGGUCAAUAGGCCAACAUUAAUUGAAAAUACUCUCAAUCAGUAAUUAUACGUACUGGCAAGGAGCAUCCAAGGUAUCAAUUUUUUACUCAUCAAUCAAGUUGGUAACAUCAUCCUCCACUACAGUUUUGGCCCCUUGCUUUCAUUUCGAAAACUUGGUGAUUGACCUUCGCAAAGCUUGGAGCGUUUACUCUCAAUACCACAAAGUCUUGAUCGUAAUUCCUUUUUCUAACCACAUUCAUUAACACCACCUACUGUAACUGUACAAUUGCAGAUGAUAAAAAGUUAUUUUAACUGCUGUAAGUAAAAAUGUUGUCCCUUAACUGUAUUUUUUAUGAUAGUGUACGUUCUUAUUAUGACCUGCAAGUUAUUUAAUUAAGUAUUGUAAUCUUGAAAGAUAUUUAUAAUGUACUUCCUUAAUCAAAAUUUUUAUCACUUAAUGCUCUUCAAUCUUGGAUUACACAGUUUUACUGCUGGUCAUCAAAGAAAACAAAUGUCAGAGGAAUAAAUCAUCCCAAAUAAAUUAUUUAGAGCUUUUAAGAAAACAUAAAUUUCAUGUCAUUUAAAAGAAACACAAGUAACAUAGAUAAAGCUAUAUUUUCUAGUAAUGUAAAAAUCCCUCAUCAAAGUUAAGCAGUGUUUAGUAAAAUUCAAAUUCACUUCUUCUUGCUAUAUCUCAAUGUCCCUACUCUGCUGGUUUUUUUACUGUAGUGUAUUGUUUAGUAAAACUUAAAUAUUUAUGAAGUCGCUGUCACUAAAGAUAUCUAUAUAUAUAAUAUUUAAUAAAACCAAAAUGUGCAACUCAACGCUUUUACUCUUUCGACUUUAAUUCCCAACCUCUUUGUUGUAAAAAAAAGAAAGGAAAAAGAACCACUCUCAUGGGGAAAAGUUC
rnacentral:lncRNA from 1 species